GGGAUUAACCUGGAAGGAAGGGCCACCUCGCGAGAGAAACUGAUAUCCGUCCGCCGGCGGGUGACCCCGCCCUCCAGAAGAUGGCAUGGAUUUUGAGGUUCAAGGAAACAGUUGCUUCCUGCACUGGAGAGCAGCUAUCUCACCUUGUUGACCCUUUACAGCAUCAAGCUGUCUCAGAUACAGGAGAGUUUCUGGCAUGACUCAUCCUGGUAUCGCAGCUCCCAAGAAGAUACAUCGGGGGAGCAGAAUUGGAAGGGUUUACGGAGCACAGCAGGCCUCUGCGAUACGGCUGGUAUUACCCACACUUCACUACAAAUAGUUUUACAGGAAGGACCAUCUGGUCAUCAGCUGCCCAAAUGCACAUUUGCUUGCCCUCCUCCACCUGUUCAGUGUGUAAUUCAGCCUCUCCCUGCCAGGUGCUCUCCCAUCAGAGGUCCUCCUGAGCGAGGGGACGAGAGGACGCAGCACAUCCCCCGGAACAGCGGCAGGCACAGAUGCCUCUCCGAGAUCUCUGUUCUUAAGGAGGAAUAA
rnacentral:lncRNA from 1 species